UACGUAGGGUCCGAGCGUUGUCCGGAAUUAUUGGGCGUAAAGGGCUCGUAGGCGGUUUGUCGCGUCGGGAGUGAAAACUCAGGGCUCAACCCUGAGCGUGCUUCCGAUACGGGCAGACUAGAGUGCUGUAGGGGAGACUGGAAUUCCUGGUGUAGCGGUGAAAUGCGCAGAUAUCAGGAGGAACACCGGUGGCGAAGGCGGGUCUCUGGGCAGUAACUGACGCUGAGGAGCGAAAGCGUGGGGAGCGAACAGG
rnacentral:rRNA from 1 species